AGAGUUUGAUCCUGGCUCAGAACGAACGCUGGCGGCGUGCCUAACACAUGCAAGUCGAACGGAUUUGAGGGGCUUGCUCCUCAAGUUAGUGGCGCACGGGUGAGUAACGCGUAGAUAAUCUGCCUGAUGAUCCGGGAUAACACUUCGAAAGGGGUGCUAAUACCGGAUAAGCCCACGGGGUCUUUGGAUUCUGCGGGAAAAGGGGGGGACCUUCGGGCCUUCUGUCAUCAGAUGAGUCUGCGUACCAUUAGCUAGUUGGUAGGGUAAUGGCCUACCAAGGCUACGAUGGUUAGCUGGUUUGAGAGAAUGAUCAGCCACACUGGAACUGAGACACGGUCCAGACUCCUACGGGAGGCAGCAGUGGGGAAUUUUGCGCAAUGGGCGAAAGCCUGACGCAGCAACGCCGCGUGAGUGAUGAAGGCUUUCGGGUCGUAAAGCUCUGUCGAGGGGAAAGAAGUGUAUUGUGGCUAAUAUCCGCGAUACUUGACGGUACCCCUAAAGGAAGCA
rnacentral:rRNA from 1 species